rnacentral:rRNA from 1 species
GACAGAGGGGGCAAGCGUUGCUCGGAAUUACUGGGCGUAAAGGGCGCGUAGGCGGAAUGGCAAGUCGGUCGUGAAAUCCUUCGGCUCAACCGAAGAACGUCGAUCGAAACUGCCGUUCUUGAGGAUUGCAGAGGAGACUGGAAUUCCCGGUGUAGCGGUGAAAUGCGUAGACAUCGGGAGGAACACCUGAGGCGAAGGCGGGCUACUGGGCCGAUACUGACGCUGAUGCGCGAAAGCCAGGGGAGCGAACGGG